rnacentral:misc_RNA from 1 species
UACGGAGGGUGCAAACGUUGCUCGGAAUCAUUGGGCGUAAAGGGUGUGUAGGCGGCCGAGUUUGUCCACUGUGAAAUCUCCAGGCACAACCUGGAAAGUGCAGUGGAAACGGCUCAACUUGAGUAUCGGAGAGGGUGACGGAAUUCCCGGUGUAGUGGUGAAAUACGUAGAUAUCGGGAGGAACACCAGUGGCGAAGGCGGUCACCUGGCCGAAUACUGACGCUGAGACGCGAAAGCGUGGGGAGCAAACAGG